rnacentral:misc_RNA from 1 species
CGCCGCCAUGACCACCGCGCGCGACGGCAUCGAGCGGGGCAAACGCAACAAUUGCCGCAACCGCAGCAACACCGAUCAUCAGUUUUCUGAACAUGGCUCACUCCUACCCGAGCGCGCCCCUAACCGAUAACGCNNNUUCCAUGAACGGCGAUAAAAUUUUACGGAGAUGAGGCGCUGGCCGGGGACGCCGAUGAACCGUUCAUCAAUGAGGCAUCAUCCGGCAGGCCGUAGACACGUUCAGGCGCGGCAAAGCCCGCGACCGAAAACAGGCCAAGAUCAGUCCAUCCCGCAUCGACAUGG